ensembl:miRNA mir-2207 ncRNA
UGUGAAUUGAGACUGUGUAUAAGAAUGUAAGGAGGAGAGGGGCCGUUCGUAUCGUUCGUCUUAUGCACAGGCUCAAUGCACACA